ensembl:lncRNA
CUAGGCCCCUCAUCAUCUUUGUAGCCCUUUGCUGCACCCUCUCCAGCAGGUUCCCUGCCCUUCUUCAACUGGGGAGCCCAGAACUGUUCAAGAAGGACAGGGAAACAUAUCACCAGCCAUGGUGGGGAAGGAACCUGUGCCUGUUUCUGCCAUCUUUUCCCUUCCCCGACCCUCUUUUCUGCCCCACUGGCCCGGCCCUACAGAUUUACCCGUCGGGGAUCCCGGAGGACCAGCUGAAGCUGUUGGGGCCGCUGUCCCGCCAGUACACGGCGGAGGAGAUCAGCCAGUGGCAGGUGACGUCCAACGACACGCUCUCAGCCCUGCUCAACCCCUCGGAUGGCAAGUGGAAGGCUCCCCAGGUAAAGCUCCAGCAGCAGCGGGGCAGGGGGGCUGGUGAACCCAAACCGGGACCACUCGGUGCCCAAGCCCAUCUUGGGGUGAGGGCAGUGCCCGAGGGCGGCUCGGGGGUUUUGCAGCACACACAUUUCUACCGGCAGCAUCUUCCUUCCCUGCCUGCGUGCAACCACGACAACUGUGUUUCCCAGGUCCAGCAGCUGCUCGGCAGGUACCAGGCCCUGGGGGGCACCUUGACUGGGUCCUUGCUCCGGGAACUGGGUGGAAGAAACCUGUGUAACCUGCAGGAGGAGCAGAUCGAGCACAUACCUCCAGAAGCAAUCAGGACUGCAGGACAAUUAGACAUUUCUUCUUGUUCCCAAACCAAGAAGGACCAGCUCUACAGAAAAGCCCAGGAGGCCUUUGCUGGCCAGGCUGGCACCACCAGGGCGUAUUAUUGCCAGAUUUGGCCGUACCUGGGUGGAGCUCCAGCAAAGGACCUGAAAGACUUGGCUAAAGCUGGCGUUGCCAUAGACAUGGACAUCGACACCUUCCUUGCCCUAAAUCCCGAUGAGCUGCAGAAACUCAGUGUGGUGGACGUGAAAUCUUUGCUUGGGGAAAACCUCCGUUACCUGAAGGAAGCUGAAAAUGAGACCUCGGUGAUGCGCUGGGUGAAGAGACAGUCCCAACGGGAACUGGACUGUGUCCUGGGAAUUGGCCUGCAAGGGGGGAUAGGGGACCCCAGCCCCACGGCCACCCCUCCUCACCCCACCACCUCGGCCAGUAUCACCCCCACGGCCACCGUCUCUGUGCCCACCACCUUCCCCACCGUCCCCACCCCUACUGCCAUUAGCAGCCUCCCCACCACUAAUUCAAGCACCAUCCCCGACAAGGCCCCCACCCCAAGUGCUAUCAGCCCGACCCCCCCUCACAGCACUCCCCCACAGACUUCCACCACUGCCCCCAGUUCUGCUGGGAGUCCCCCUGCCGCCUCCACCACCCAACCUGCUCUGACCACCGGCUCCAUUGUCCUAUGCUCCAUCCACCAGUCUGCCACCCCAAAUAAGGUCACCCCCCCUGCUGCCACCCUCCUCACCACCAUCCUUGCCACUGUCAACCCCAACGCCACCUCUCCCAGCUCCGUCCCACCCCCUGCUCUCACACAUGGGGCCACCACCACCAGCGUUGUUACUAACCCAGCUCUUACCACCCCCAACACCAGUACCCCACUGGUGUCCAUGAACCCCCCAGCACCUGGGGGUACCAUCAACCCUGCUCCUGCCACCCGUAACACCACCACACCAAGCAACCACAGUGCUCCUAGCACCCUUGUCCCUAAAUCCACUUCUGCACCCACUGCCACCACAACCACAGAAAUGACCCUCCCUCCCCACAAGCCCUCCCCGACUCCCAACUCCAGUGUCUCCACCCAAGAGAGUGUCCUCUCCUCCACGGCCAAGACUACAACAUUGGCUUGCAAGACCAGUGCUCCUCCAGCAUUUCUUGGCUCCUCUUCCACCACCACCAGCAGUGAGACCACUAAAAACCCACCCGCAGGCGUGCCAGAGCCACCAAGACCAACACCCGGUGGAUACAUCAACCUGCAACCUGAAGCUGGAUCAGGAUCCAGACUCUCCUCCUGCCUGGUGCCCGUACUGACGACAGCCUCACUGCUGCGAGGGCUUCUCUGACACGGCCACCUCCAGCCCCAAACUCACUGGAUCCCUCCUUUCGUUUUCACCAUCCUGCAAAAGAACGGUGCUGGCAAAUUCCCUGCGGAAACAGCAGAAACCCAGGAAAGGAAUAGCAUUUGGCCAUUUGAUACCAGCACAGAAUUUACUUAUUAAUUUUGAGGCCGGGCAGUGAAAGGAGGACAGAUGUUUUUCCAGCCCAACAGGUACUUGGUAGCUAGUUGUUGUCUGUAAUACAAUCACCAGCAGCACUGGCUGGUCUGAAUAUGCAUUAACGCAGACAGCGGGCCCAGUUCUGCCAGCUCGCCUUGCACUUUUCCUUCUAAGCAGUCCCACUGGGAUCUGUUGAAACAGUGGGACAAACUCAGGGAUUUGAGUUACUGGCCACUGCAGAAGCAGCAGAAUAUGGCCCAGCAACAUCUGCUCAGAGAUCCACUAAAUUACAUUUAACUUGUUUUAUGAACUUACGAGACUUAUGAUCAAGAUUUGUUCAAGCUACGCCAAGCCUAGUUUAAGGGAUGAUUAACUGAGGAUAGUUUGUCUUGAUUACUGUUGCAAUGCUCUAUAAUAAAACAUCAAUCAACUUUUUUUUCCUAAUCA